rnacentral:RNase_P_RNA from 2 species
UCUAAGGGGUGCGCAUUCGCUCUGUAGUAAUAUGGAGAGGAAAGUCCGGACGUCAUAGGGCAGGAUUCCUCAUGAAAGUGGGGGCAUCUUGGGUUAUAUCCCAAGAUGACGGAUAGUGUCACAGAGAAUAUACCGCUCUUCGGAGUAAGGGUGAAAAGGUGAGGUAAGAGCUUACCGCUUGCAAGGCAACUUGUAAGGCAGGAAAAACCCAAUUCGACGCAAGACUGAAUAGGAAAUCAGGUUAGCCCGCCUAACGAUUUCGGGUAAGUCGCACUUUGCUUCGCAAAGAAUGAGGUUUUUCCUCAUUAGAUAAAUGGAUGCGACUGCUUCGGCAGGACAAAAUCCGGCUUAUAUCCCCUUAGAUCUU